rnacentral:rRNA from 1 species
UUGUCUCUCUUGAGUGGAUCCUGAGUACGACGGAGCACGUGAAAUUCCGUCGGAAUCUGGGAGGACCAUCUCCUAAGGCUAAAUACUCUCUAGUGACCGAUAGUGAACCAGUACCGUGAGGGAAAGGUGAAAAGCACCCCGGAAGGGGAGUGAAAUAGAACCUGAAACCGUGUGCUUACAAGUAGUCAGAGCCCGUUAAUGGGUGAUGGCGUGCCUUUUGUAGAAUGAACCGGCGAGUUACGAUUUGAUGCAAGGUUAAGCAGUAAAUGUGGAGCCGUAGCGAAAGCGAGUCUGAAUAGGGCGUUUAGUAUUUGGUCGUAGACCCGAAACCAGGUGAUCUACCCUUGGUCAGGUUGAAGUUCAGGUAACACUGAAUGGAGGACCGAACCGACUUACGUUGAAAAGUGAGCGGAUGAACUGAGGGUAGCGGAGAAAUUCCAAUCGAACCUGGAGAUAGCUGGUUCUCUCCGAAAUAGCUUUAGGGCUAGCCUCAAGUGAUGAUUAUUGGAGGUAGAGCACUGUUUGGACGAGGGGCCCCUCUCGGGUUACCGAAUUCAGACAAACUCCGAAUGCCAAUUAAUUUAACUUGGGAGUCAGAACAUGGGUGAUAAGGUCCGUGUUCGAAAGGGAAACAGCCCAGACCACCAGCUAAGGUCCCAAAAUAUAUGUUAAGUGGAAAAGGAUGUGGCGUUGCCCAGACAACUAGGAUGUUGGCUUA